AACGCGAAGAACCUUACCAGGUCUUGACAUCCUUCUGACCGCCCUAGAGAUAGGGUUUUCCCUUCGGGGACAGAAGUGACAGGUGGUGCAUGGUUGUCGUCAGCUCGUGUCGUGAGAUGUUGGGUUAAGUCCCGCAACGAGCGCAACCCUUGAUCUUAGUUGCCAGCAUUUAGUUGGGCACUCUAAGGUGACUGCCGGUGACAAACCGGAGGAAGGUGGGGAUGACGUCAAAUCAUCAUGCCCCUUAUGACCUGGGCUACACACGUGCUACAAUGGAUGGUACAAAGGGCAGCGAAACCGCGAGGUUAAGCCAAUCCCAUAAAACCAUUCUCAGUUCGGAUUGCAGGCUGCAACUCGCCUGCAUGAAGCCGGAAUCGCUAGUAAUCGCGGAUCAGCAUGCCGCGGUGAAUACGUUCCCGGGCCUUGUA
rnacentral:rRNA from 1 species